UACGUAGGUGGCAAGCGUUGUCCGGAUUUAUUGGGCGUAAAGGGAGCGCAGGCGGUGACUUAAGUCUGAUGUGAAAGCCCACGGCUCAACCGUGGAAGGUCAUUGGAAACUGGGUCACUUGAAUAUAGAAGAGGAAAGUGGAAUUCCAUGUGUAGCGGUGAAAUGCGUAGAUAUAUGGAGGAACACCAGUGGCGAAGGCGACUUCUGGUCUAUUAUUGACGCUGAGGCUCGAAAGCAUGGGUAGCAAACAGGAUUAGAUACCCU
rnacentral:rRNA from 1 species